rnacentral:rRNA from 2 species
AGUCGAACGAACUCUGGUAUUGAUUGGUGCUUGCAUCAUGAUUUACAUUUGAGUGAGUGGCGAACUGGUGAGUAACACGUGGGAAACCUGCCCAGAAGCGGGGGAUAACACCUGGAAACAGAUGCUAAUACCGCAUAACAACUUGGACCGCAUGGUCCGAGCUUGAAAGAUGGCUUCGGCUAUCACUUUUGGAUGGUCCCGCGGCGUAUUAGCUAGAUGGUGGGGUAACGGCUCACCAUGGCAAUGAUACGUAGCCGACCUGAGAGGGUAAUCGGCCACAUUGGGACUGAGACACGGCCCAAACUCCUACGGGAGGCAGCAGUAGGGAAUCUUCCACAAUGGACGAAAGUCUGAUGGAGCAACGCCGCGUGAGUGAAGAAGGGUUUCGGCUCGUAAAACUCUGUUGUUAAAGAAGAACAUAUCUGAGAGUAACUGUUCAGGUAUUGACGGUAUUUAACCAGAAAGCCACGGCUAACUACGUGCCAGCAGCCGCGGUAAUACGUAGGUGGCAAGCGUUGUCCGGAUUUAUUGGGCGUAAAGCGAGCGCAGGCGGUUUUUUAAGUCUGAUGUGAAAGCCUUCGGCUCAACCGAAGAAGUGCAUCGGAAACUGGGAAACUUGAGUGCAGAAGAGGACAGUGGAACUCCAUGUGUAGCGGUGAAAUGCGUAGAUAUAUGGAAGAACACCAGUGGCGAAGGCGGCUGUCUGGUCUGUAACUGACGCUGAGGCUCGAAAGUAUGGGUAGCAAACAGGAUUAGAUACCCUGGUAGUCCAUACCGUAAACGAUGAAUGCUAAGUGUUGGAGGGUUUCCGCCCUUCAGUGCUGCAGCUAACGCAUUAAGCAUUCCGCCUGGGGAGUACGGCCGCAAGGCUGAAACUCAAAGGAAUUGACGGGGGCCCGCACAAGCGGUGGAGCAUGUGGUUUAAUUCGAAGCUACGCGAAGAACCUUACCAGGUCUUGACAUACUAUGCAAAUCUAAGAGAUUAGACGUUCCCUUCGGGGACAUGGAUACAGGUGGUGCAUGGUUGUCGUCAGCUCGUGUCGUGAGAUGUUGGGUUAAGUCCCGCA